UGCGUAGGGGGCAAGCGUUGUCCGGAUUUAUUGGGCGUAAAGAGCGUGUAGGUGGCCAGACAGGUCCGUUGUGAAAACUCGAGGCUCAACCUCGAGACGUCGAUGGAAACCGUCGGGCUAGAGUCCGGAAGAGGAGAGUGGAAUUCCUGGUGUAGCGGUGAAAUGCGCAGAUAUCAGGAGGAACACCCGUGGCGAAAGCGGCUCUCUGGGACAGUACUGACGCUGAGACGCGAAAGCGUGGGGAGCGAACAGG
rnacentral:rRNA from 1 species